rnacentral:rRNA from 1 species
AGGAUGAACGCUGGCGGCGUGCCUAACAUAUGCAAGUCGAACGUCCUGUCUCGCAAGAGGCAGGGAGUGGCGGACGGGUGAGUACCACGUGGGUCAUCUACCGUGAGGUGAGGAAUACCGGCGAGAAAUCGCCGACAAGACCGCAUAGGCUCGAUGCAAGUCGAGCAAAGCUCUUUCGAGAGAGGGAGCGCCACACGAGGAGCCUGCGCCCGAUUAGCUAGCUGGUGGAGUAACGGUUCACCAGGGCGACGAUCGGUAGCUGGUCUGAGAGGACGAUCAGCCACACUGGGAUUGAGAACGGCCCAGACUCCUACGGGGGGCAGCAGUGAGGAAUUUUCGUCAAUGGGGGCAACCCUGAACGAGCAACGCCGCGUGCAGGAAGAAGGUUUUCGGAUCGUAAACUGCUUUUCUCGGGGAAGAGAACGGACGGUACCCGAGGAAUCAGCCCCGGCUAACUACGUGCCAGCAGCCGCGGU